UACGUAGGUGGCAAGCGUUAUCCGGAUUUACUGGGUGUAAAGGGCGUGUAGGCGGGUUUGCAAGUUGGAUGUGAAAUCCUCAGGAUUAACCUGAGAGGGUCAUCCAAAACUGCAGAUCUUGAGUACUGGAGAGGAUAGUGGAAUUCCUAGUGUAGCGGUGAAAUGCGUAGAGAUUAGGAAGAACACCAGUGGCGAAGGCGAUUCUCUGGACUGUAACUGACGCUGAGGCUCGAAAGCGUGGGGAGCAAACAGGAUUAGAUA
rnacentral:rRNA from 1 species